GGCUGGGGGAGGCGGGAUAGGCUGGGCGCGGCCGGUGCUGCGGACCCGCCACAGCCCUCCAGGUCGCUGCGGACCCAAGGCCUGCUUGCCUGCCAGCGGCACCAUGGGCAAUUGCCACACGGUGGGCCCCAACGAGGCACUGGUGGUCUCAGACUGUCUCUGGAGGUUAUGACCAUCCUGUGUCGCUGUGAGAAUAUUGAGACGUCGGAGGGGGUCCCGCUAUUCGUAACAGGGGUUGCACAGGUGAAGAUCAUGACGGAGAAGGAGCUCCUGGCUGUAGCCUGUGAACAGUUCCUGGGCAAGAACGUGCAGGACAUUAAGAACGUCGUACUGCAGACCCUGGAGGGGCAUCUACGCUCCAUCCUUGGGACUCUGACUGUGGAGCAGAUUUAUCAGGACCGAGACCAGUUUGCCAAGCUGGUGCGGGAAGUGGCAGCCCCUGAUGUUGGCCGUAUGGGCAUCGAGAUCCUCAGCUUCACCAUCAAGGAUGUCUAUGACAAAGUAGACUAUCUGAGCUCCCUGGGCAAGACACAGACUGCCGUGGUACAGAGAGAUGCAGACAUCGGUGUGGCAGAGGCAGAGCGGGACGCAGGCAUCCGGGAAGCCGAGUGCAAGAAGGAAAUGCUAGAUGUGAAGUUCAUGGCAGACACCAAGAUUGCUGACUCCAAGAGAGCCUUUGAGCUGCAAAAGUCAGCCUUCAGUGAGGAGGUCAACAUCAAGACAGCUGAGGCCCAGUUGGCCUAUGAGCUACAAGGGGCCAGAGAGCAACAGAAGAUCCGGCAGGAAGAGAUUGAGAUUGAGGUAGUACAGCGCAAGAAGCAGAUCGCCGUGGAGGCGCAGGAGAUCCUGCGCACAGACAAGGAGCUCAUCGCCACAGUGCGCCGCCCUGCAGAGGCAGAGGCCCACCGCAUCCAGCAGAUUGCUGAAGGCGAAAAGGUGAAACAAGUCCUCUUGGCACAAGCAGAAGCUGAGAAGAUUCGCAAAAUCGGGGAGGCAGAGGCAGCAGUCAUUGAGGCCAUGGGCAAGGCCGAGGCCGAGCGGAUGAAGCUUAAAGCUGAGGCCUACCAGAAGUACGGGGAUGCGGCCAAGAUGGCCCUGGUGCUGGAGGCCCUGCCCCAGAUUGCUGCCAAGAUCUCCGCACCCCUGACUAAAGUCGAUGAGAUUGUGGUUCUCAGUGGGGACAACAGCAAGGUGACAUCAGAAGUGAACCGGCUGCUAGCAGAACUGCCUGCUUCUGUUCAUGCCCUCACUGGUGUGGACCUCUCAAAGAUACCACUGAUCAAGAAUGCCACUGGUGCGCAGGUGUGAGGCUCCUGGCACUCGGCCUCCAGCAGCUGCCUGCCCUUCCAGCGCCUGUUUUCAAGUCAUGGGGACAGCGAGAACAUUACUGACUCUGGUGCCUUAUUUCGUAGGGACCAGAAGUGCUGCGAGUUCAGGCCAUCUCUGGCUAUCUUCCCUUCUCUCCUGUCUGCCUUCUCUUUUUUUUCCACACCUUCACAUUAACUGCCACAUCCAUCUAGCCUGUCUCCUCAUCUGCCAUAUGUGCCUCUUCCUCUGGCUCUGUUUUUCUCCCUUCUCCCAACUUCACACACAUCAUCUACUUUAACUGAAGUUGAACUUGUUUAUGAUAAUCACUUGUCUGUCUGUCUGUCUGUCUGUCUGUCUGUCUGUCUGUCUGUGAGGAGUGGCCCCGCUGCUUCUCAAAAUUCUGGUGCCUUCAAGUUCUACAUGUAUCUGUCUGUCCUCGCUGGCCCUGGCAGAGCCCAGCAUGGGUACAAGGGUUCUGCGUAGGACACCCACUCUCCUCUCUCCUGGUCUGAAUCUCCAAGCGCUAAAUGCUGUUCCAGGAAACCCACAUCUCACACAGUCUUGCCCUUUGAGGCCUAAGUGGCCAUGGCCUAUUGGCCGUAGCAUAAUGCCCUUCCCACACCGAGGCCCGGGCCUGCUGUCAUACCUGCCCCUGUCCCCUGCACCAUAGAGGCACAGAAGCACAGCCUCCUGUCUGUAGCAGCUUCCUCAGUGUACUACUGCCUUAGGAGGCCCUGCUUGUGCUCAGGGACAUCCCUUCCGUUGGCUUGUCCUUGAUUGGUGGGUGGGUCUUAAUCUGAUCCCACUAAGUCUUUCUGGGGUCACUAUCUAGCUCUGUUGGGGACAGGUAAAGUUUAUAGGCCUUCUUCCUGCUAGUGAAUGGGGCUCUCCCAGGGGGCAAGGCUGUGCCAACCGUAAGAGAAUCAAGUGCUGAAGACUGGCCAAACUUCACUCCCUCUAUGCCAUUUUCUUCUUGGUCAGCAUAAUGGGUUUCUAGCCAUGGGAAGCAGCUAAGUGUUCUGUGUCUUUGCACCUGCACCACUGGUGGCAGAAGAACCCAGUGCCCAGGUGUCCUAGUAAGGGUGCAAGGGUGUCUGUCCCAUGGGCCCAGUCCCCAGCCCUGGCCUGCCCCGGCCUGUGUAGCUGUGCUGCAUGUGAAUGCUGCAUGUCUGGUCUGGGGUUUGGAUAUUGCACUGCCCCACUGCCUGUCCCCCGCUGGUGACAAUAAAGAUCUCUUAUAGCCACA
rnacentral:lncRNA from 1 species